rnacentral:rRNA from 1 species
AACGAACGCUGGCGGCAGGCCUAACACAUGCAAGUCGAACGCCGUAGCAAUACGGAGUGGCAGACGGGUGAGUAACGCGUGGGAACGUGCCCUUCAGUUCGGGAUAACCCAGGGAAACUUGGACUAAUACCGGAUACGUGCGAGAGCAGAAAGAUUUAUUCGCUGAAGGAUCGGCCCGCCGUCCGAUUAGCUAGUUGGUUAGGGUAAGUGGCCUACCAAGGCGACGAUCGGUAGCUGGUCUGAGAGGAC